UAAAAAGCUCGUAGUUGGAUUUCUGUUGAGAGCGACCGGUCCAUACCACGUAUGCGUAUCUGGCUUGCUCUCGGCAUCCUCUCGAUAGACGUUGCUGCGCUUGAUUGCGUGGCGCGGACCUCGGGACUUUUACUUUGAGGAAAUUAGAGUGUUCACGGCAGGCUUUCGCCAGAAUACAUUAGCAUGGAAUAAUACUAUAGGAUCUUGGUUCUAUUUUGUUGGUUUCUAGAAUUGAGAUAAUGAUUAAUAGGGACAAUUGGGGGCAUUCGUAUCAACACGUCAGAGGUGGAAUUCUUGGAUUGUGUUGCGACGAACUACUGCGAAAGCAUUUGCCAAGGAUGUUUUCAUUGAUCAAGAACGAAAGUAAGGGGAUCGAAGACGAUUAGAUACCGUCGUAGUCUUUACCAUAAACUAUGCCGACUAGAGAUGGGGCAUCGUUCGUUUACGACUUGCUCCGCACCUUAUGAGAUAUCAAAGUUUUUGGGUUCCGGGGGGAGUAU
rnacentral:rRNA from 1 species